rnacentral:rRNA from 1 species
UACGAAGGGGGCUAGCGUUGCUCGGAAUUACUGGGCGUAAAGCGCACGUAGGCGGCUUUCUAAGUCGGGGGUGAAAUCCUGGAGCUCAACUCCAGAACUGCCUUCGAUACUGGAAAGCUCGAGUCCGGGAGAGGUGAGUGGAACUGCGAGUGUAGAGGUGAAAUUCGUAGAUAUUCGCAAGAACACCAGUGGCGAAGGCGGCUCACUGGACUGGUAUUGACGCUGAGGUGCGAAAGCGUGGGGAGCAAACAGG